rnacentral:rRNA from 1 species
AUUGAACGCUGGCGGCAGGCCUAACACAUGCAAGUCGAGCGGAUGAAGAGAGCUUACUCUCUGAUUUAGCGGCGGACGGGUGAGUAAUGCCUAGGAAUCUGCCUGGUAGUGGGGGAUAACGUUCCGAAAGGAACGCUAAUACCGCAUACGUCCUACGGGAGAAAGCAGGGGACCUUCGGGCCUUGCGCUAUCAGAUGAGCCUAGGUCGGAUUAGCUAGUUGGUGAGGUAAUGGCUCACCAAGGCGACGAUCCGUAACUGGUCUGAGAGGAUGAUCAGGCACACUGGAACUGAGACACGGUCCAGACUACUACGGGAGGCAGCAGUGGGGAAUAUUGGACAAUGGGCGAAAGCCUAAUCCAGCCAUGCCGCGUGUGUGAAGAAGGUCUUCGGAUUGUAAAGCACUUUAAGUUGGGAGGAAGGGCAGUAAGUUAAUACCUUGCUGUUUUGACGUUACCGACAGAAUAAGCACCGGCUAACUUCGUGCCAGCCGCCGCCGUAAAAC